GGGGGCGACUUGGCUUCGACGCGGGUAGCAAAACCUUAGGUGCAUGCCGAGCUUUCAGGAAUCUCGUAAAACAUCUGAAAAUAUAUAGUUGCAAACGACGACAACUACGCACUCGCUGCUUAAGAACCAGUAGAUUGCUGUCUGACUGGAGCCGUGCUUAUGCGUCCAGAGAUCCUCGGAUCAUUCAGGCAUCAUAGCUCAUAAGAUCGCAGUGAAGCUUGUUCGGGGCCGAUCUACUAAAACUUUACCGGAAUCGUUUUUGGUCUUCCUAGCCUAUCGGGUAACCACUAAUUAAAUCAAAAGUUAUAGGAUAAGCAUGUAGAGCCGAGGGCGGAGUGCUUGCGGACGCGGGUUCGAUUCCCGCCGCCUCCACCA
rfam:Cycloclasticus sp. symbiont of Poecilosclerida sp. M isolate specimen M Ga0097675_1233, whole genome shotgun sequence.